rnacentral:misc_RNA from 1 species
UCCGGUUUGUCACCGGCAGUCUCAUUAGAGUGCCCUUUCGUAGCAACUAAUGACAAGGGUUGCGCUCGUUGCGGGACUUAACCCAACAUCUCACGACACGAGCUGACGACAGCCAUGCAGCACCUGUGUAUCGGCUCUCUUUCGAGCACUCCCGCCUCUCAGCAGGAUUCCGACCAUGUCAAGGGUAGGUAAGGUUUUUCGCGUUGCAUCGAAUUAAUCCACAUCAUCCACCGCUUGUGCGGGUCCCCGUCAAUUCCUUUGAGUUUUAACCUUGCGGCCGUACUCCCCAGGCGGGCAACUUCACGCGUUAGCUACGGUACUGAGAAAUCGCUUCCCCACCACCCGGUUGCCAUCGUUUAGGGCGUGGACUAC